rnacentral:rRNA from 1 species
GCUAUUUAGGUUAGAGUUUGAUCCUGGCUCAGAACGAACGCUGGCGGCGCGCCUAACACAUGCAAGUCGAACGCUCCGGGUUUCGGCCCGGGGAGUGGCGGACGGGUGAGUAACGCGUGGGAACCUGCCCAAGGGUUCGGGACAACCGCGGGAAACCGCGGCUAACACCGGAUACGGCCGAGAGGCGAAAGACUUGUCGCCCUUGGAGGGGCCCGCGUCCGAUUAGCUAGUUGGUGGGGUAAUGGCUCACCAAGGCGAUGAUCGAUAGCUGGUCUGAGAGGAUGAUCAGCCACAUUGGGACUGAGACACGGCCCAAACUCCUACGGGAGGCAGCAGUGGGGAAUAUUGGACAAUGGGCGCAAGCCUGAUCCAGCCAUGCCGCGUGAGUGAUGAAGGCCUUAGGGUUGUAAAGCUCUUUCGCUCGGGACGAUAAUGACGGUACCGAGAUAAGAAGCCCCGGCUAACUUCGUGCCAGCAGCCGCGGUAAUGUC